CUAUGAUUUUCCUCACUGCUUUUUACAACUGUUCAUCUAACUUUUCUACUCGGCGGUCCAAAAGGGAAAGAUCGAGUUGAUUCUCCUGACCGACCAAGAAACUUAUCCUUUUAACUAAUUCUUCUUUCUUCUAUCACUCAAGGGUUUCCGGUUUUCAAUUUCAGAGUUUCCGGUUCUCUCUUGAUUUUUAUUUUCCCUAUUACAGUUUUCCCGUUAUUAUUUAUCUCCUGUACUAGGUUUCCUGUUCACCUCUGUUUCACCCACUUUCCUCCUCAAUACCCACCACCCAUGAACUAGAUAAAUGAUUCGAGCACUUUUAAUAUUGCCUUUAGCUAAGGCGCAAACACUGCUAACGCUACAUUUUUGAAACGGCAGAUUCUACACCGAUCUGCUCGUUUCAUCACUCCCAACUACCCCAAAAAAAAAUAUGAAAUUUUUUUUUUCCAUUAAACUAACCUUUAUAUACUUUCCGGUUUUUUCACUUAACACUUAUUUUUCGAUAAUAAUUCACACCGAUUCAGUAAACAAUUUCCGCUUAACUCUACUAUUUUCACCUAUCAUUAAUUUCUUGCAAUUUAUCCUAACACCGACCGAUUCUAUUUGUUCAACUCUAUACAAACAUGCCGAGAGAGAUCCAACGCGACCGUAAACUAGGUUUCGCACCAGUUAACUAACUAGCAAAAUAUUCUUUGUAUACGGUAUCGGAAGAUACCUCACUCCAAUACAACUAUUGGAAAAAUUCAAGCAUUACGCUCCCAACCACUACAUAUGCCAUACUCCGAAAAAUGUACCUGAACUCAUUUUCAGUCAUAUUCGUAUUGCCAAAAUGUAGUUAAAUACAUAUCAAAACAAUUCCAUAUCAUUAUAUGGACACUAUCAAACUGCAAAUUACUCUCCCUUCUCUCUCUCGGCUUAUAAACGUAUGAUGGACCACUGGGCUAUUGUAACGUAUAUGGUAUUGUUGAGAUAUAGUCUGUGAUCAACUGCUGGUGUAUGAAGUGCGUUGUUCGCAGCAAAACAGAAAAACGUGGAUUGAUGCUCUGGCUAUUGCUAUGACCACAUUUGGAUGGAUGUUUCUAGGAUUAGUCGGUGCUCACUUUGCCAAAAACCAUGAUACUGAAAAGCAAACGCAACUGGUUGCGUGGUGUUGCUUUGUUUCGUGGUUUUUGGUAAAGUACCAUCUGCGGGCCUCUCCCGCAAAAAGGAUGUAAGCUUGAUCAAGGAACCUAUCGUUUGGAAUACGUUCAGCAUUCAUCAACUCGUUAACCUGGAACACGAAAUCAGUAACAUCCAUUCCCUGUACAUCUCCAUUGAACUGGAUACCCCAUUUGUCUAACCGGUAAUGUUGGAACCGAUUAUCUCGCCAAUAAUUUUCCUCAGAUCUUUCUGAGUGGCUUAUCGGUUCAGAAUCUGUGCUAGAUUCUGAUGAAAUAAGACUGCUCAAUGAGUCAAGAGAUGAACUCUCGUCCGCUGAAGGCGAACUUUCAGAAAAUUGGUGCGUUACCGUAAAAUUUAAAAAAGAGAGAAGCUGUAAAAUGAAAGAACUUAGAACUAGCGAAAAUAAACUUCAAUUCACUUUGUUUUUAUAUUGCGUACUAUAAAUCGAAUUUUUUUAUCUUAUUCACCAAAACCCUUAACCUAAAUGAAAUCAAUGCAAAUAAUAUCUAAAGUGCUCGAAUCAACAAUAAAUUACAAUUUAAUUCAAAUAUAUACAAGUGUGGUGAAACCAUGGAACAUUCAAACUUAAAAAUUCUAGUGGGACGAUCUUAUUUGGAGUUGGGCGCCAAUGUAAGGGGGCUCUGGU